rnacentral:lncRNA from 1 species
UCCACUAUACUAAUCAUAUGCCACUCGAUCUAAUAUAUAUAGAUUGUCCACGUCACAUAUCAUAGUUCAUAUGUCAUUGUUUUCCAAUGUCGAGUUCUCUAAUUCACCUAGAGUUUAUCGACCCAAGUUCAACAUGCAUGUGUCAUUUAACAUAAUCCACAAUAUGUCAAUAUACAUUCAUCUAGUAUAUUCUACAAUAAAUCAACAUGCACUCAUUCAUCAUAUUCCACAAUAUGUCUACAUAUAUAUGCCAACCAUUCAUAUGUCAUCCAACAUGUUCCAUAAUUUAUCAACAUGCAUAUUACCUCUAACAUAUUACUAUAACAUUAUUUUCAUACAUUCAUGUAACAAUUAACUCAUGCAUUCAUCUAGCAAUUAACACAUUAUAUGUCAUUAUGCAUGUUAUCUCAACAGUAAGUAACAUCGACUAUAUGUAUCAAUUAGAAAACCAUUACUCUUAGACAUAUAGGCGACCUAGUUGCUUUGGUGAGCACAACCCACCUCAAAAUGCUUUCUGAUUGCUUGUUGUCACUUGCAAUCGGCCUCCCGCGGCAUCCGACACCCGGUUUGGCCCGAUCUCUUGCACGACCACCCGAACGGCCUCCAAUUCACGAUGCGAAAAUUAAAGGUCUUCGGUUAUGUGCCAUGGUGCUUCAAAUCCGUUUUCAUGAGUAUACGAUGUCAUCUCGGCCCUCCAGGCGAAAACGAAGCCUAAACGUUCGUUUCUUUAAUAACUUCGCAACGGCUCGACGAAUCGCCAAACCGACUUCGCCAACGCGUUUGUUUACCUAGCAAUUAGGUUUACAGAGGGUCAAAUGAGAUCAAACCCUCAUAUUUACAAAACUAGCAUUUUGAACCCUAGGUUUCAUCUAUUGCAAGAAUUAAUUAAAUUGAUCAUAUAUUCCAGCAUUUGUCCUUUAUUUAGCAGCUAGGAUCCCAAAUAAACCAUUUCUAUGGAUUAUAAAUGAAGCUUUAAAGAUCUACCAUGAGAGGGUUCAAAAAGCUCAUUUCAAGCCCUAGGUUUACAACUAGGCAAGAAAUCAUUAAAUUGAUCCGUGAUUUAAGCAACAAUCAUCUCUUUAGCAUGCUAGAUUAGCUCUAAAUCCAUUCUUGAAGCUUAAAACCCAAACUACAAAGAGAUACCAUUAAAGGGCAUCAAAGCUUACCUUGCAAGCAAGCUCCAAUGGAGAGGAAGAAGAUGAAAAAGAUGAAGAUCAACUUCCAAGCUUGCUUCUCCACCAAAUCCCUCUCUUGAUUCCACCUUCAAGAGAGAAAAAGAGAGGCUUUUUCUUUUUCUUUUUCUUCUUUGCUUUCAAGUGUGAGGGAGAGGAGAAGGUGUGUG